rnacentral:lncRNA from 1 species
CCACUUGGAUUUGGCCUGUGGUUCAACAAGUUAAACAACUGCUUGUUCUGUGGGCAGACAUCCCCAUUGACAGAGGACUUGCUGUGUUUGUCCAGCCUGAGACCUUUUCAAUGACUGUUUUUCUUUCUAGGCCAAAUUGAGGGUGGGGGCCGGAUAGAUGCUUCUGUCUGGCUGCUCAACUGCCUCAGCCUUGCCUGACAGAUGCAGAGGUCCUCAGGAUGGCUUUAAGUAUUUAAGGCGGCCAAUGGCUUGGCUCAAAGUCAGAAAAUGAGAUACAAGACAUCCUUGGUGAUGAGGAAACGAUUACGGCUUUACCGAAACACUCUUAAAGAGUCAAGUAGCAGCUCUGGACACCAUGGCCCCCAGCUCACCGCCGCCUCCAGCCCCUCGGUGUUCCCGGGCCUCCACGAGGAGCCUCCCCAGGCCUCCCCCAGCCGUCCUUUGAAUGGACUCCUGCGUCUGGGGCUCCCUGGAGACAUGUACGCGCGGCCGGAGCCCUU